GUCGGCGGAGACUGCGUGUUGCGUCACAAGGGCUGCGCGUUGCGUCAGGGGCGUUUGCCUUGCCGCCGUGCGUCGGCCGAAGGAAGGUGGUCUCUGCUUCAUCUCGAGUCACGGCAGUGGCUUUUGUUGUAAUUAAAAGUGGUGUCCUUACCAAGCCCCCAAAUAGAGGACAGGAACCAAAACUCCUAAGCAAGUGUGCGGCUCGUUUUAGGACCACACAGACUCAGGCAAAUACUGCAGAAGUAUUACGAGUUUUAAAAUCGCGAGUAUUUUCAGAUGGAGGGAACUCAAAGAACGAAUGUAGGAGAAAAGUAAGGGGAGGAGGAAGGUUCUCCUCUUCACUCCCUGGUAUUUCUUGCAGAAACAGACAAAGAUUUAAAAUUUUCUGCCAGCAACCUAGUGCAAAAAGCAGGCCACACCGUUCAAGAUGACAGAAGCCUCAUUCUUUUCUUCUAGAUUUCACUUUAGCCUGUAACAGAGGUAACUCACAGGGCAAGGGAACCAAGAAGGAGAAUGGACAAAACUAAUACCCAGAGAGGGAUAAGACAGAUAAGUUUUGAGAAAACUGAGCAAAUUGAAAUGGGUUAAGAAUAAAAGAAGGGAAUUGGAACGAAACACAGAAAUAAUGAAGGCAGACAAGAAAGAUCCCACCUAUGCAUAACUAGUGGUCUUGAAGGAGACAACAAUUAUAAACAGAAAACCAGAAAUA